GGAAACUUGUGCUAAUACCGUAUGUGUCCUUCGGGAGAAAGAUUUAUCGGCAAGAGAUGAGCCCGCGUUGGAUUAGCUAGUUGGUGGGGUAAAGGCCUACCAAGGCGACGAUCCAUAGCUGGUCUGAGAGGAUGAUCAGCCACAUUGGGACUGAGACACGGCCCAAACUCCUACGGGAGGCAGCAGUGGGGAAUAUUGGACAAUGGGCGCAAGCCUGAUCCAGCCAUGCCGCGUGAGUGAUGAAGGCCCUAGGGUUGUAAAGCUCUUUCACCGGAGAAGAUAAUGACGGUAUCCGGAGAAGAAGCCCCGGCUAACUUCGUGCCAGCAGCCGCGGUAAUACGAAGGGGGCUAGCGUUGUUCGGAAUUACUGGGCGUAAAGCGCACGUAGGCGGAUCGAUCAGUCAGGGGUGAAAUCCCAGGGCUCAACCCUGGAACUGCCUUUGAUACUGUCGAUCUGGAGUAUGGAAGAGGUGAGUGGAAUUCCGAGUGUAGAGGUGAAAUUCGUAGAUAUUCGGAGGAACACCAGUGGCGAAGGCGGCUCACUGGUCCAUUACUGACGCUGAGGUGCGAAAGCGUGGGGGAGCAAACAGGAUUAGAUACCCUGGU
rnacentral:rRNA from 1 species